rnacentral:lncRNA from 1 species
CUGGAAAGCUACACUUCCAACAGAUGUAGUAGCAAGGUUUUAGUGGUUCAGCUAGUGUGGUAGCAGUUUCAGUAAGUGCAGUAGCAGGUUUUCAGUGGCUCAGCUAAUGUAGUAGCAUGUUUGCUAGAAAGCUACACUGCCAAUAGAUGUAGUAGCAAGGUUUUAGUGGUUCAGCUAGUGUAGUAGCAGCUUCAGUAAGUGCAGUAGCAGUUUUUCAAUGGCUCACGUAGUAGCAGAACACAUUAACAACACACACAGUAGCAAGACACAUCAACAACAACAUGUAGUGGCAGCACACAACAACAGCACACGCAGUAGCAGCACACAACAACAUACAACAACAACACACGCAAUAGCAGCACACAACAACACACAUCAAUGAAGACUAGACAAUAAAGGUUAACUCUGCUACUGCCUUAUCCUCCACUUCUGCUACUGCAUUAUCCUCCACUUCUGUUAUUGCCUUCUCUUGCUUCGGACUAAAAGGCUCUGCUACUGCUCCUGACCCAACGGCUCUGCUACUGUCUACUGGCAGGCUCUGCUACUGUUGCCGAUUAUUAGGAAGCUGCUACUGUUACUGCUGAUGCUACUACUUACUAAAACAUACCGCUACUGUUAACCAUAGAGGUGCUACUGCCGACUGAGAUCCAAAUCUACUUGCCUCCCUUACCUUUCUUAGUCUACUUCAACAGUGGAUUAACACCACCAAAGCACCUCCAGUAGCAAUAACUUCAUUCCUCCACACAUUAAUUAACCAUACAACCAUAGCACCCAAAUGAAUUCAAUUAUAAUUUCCAUCAACAAUUAUAAAACCAAACUAAAAAUGAACAUCCACAUGUAGAUCUAUCCCUGCAAUCAUCGACAUCCACAACCUCCAGAACAUCGUAGUAACUAAGAUCUACAAGCACGCCUAUGUCACCCAAUGCUCAAUCGAGCAUGGAUAACUCAAAGCAUUUGAGGGCGACAAUUCAUGGCCUUUGAAGUGGUUGAUCUCCUUGAGAAAAUGCGAUCCGCCACACCAGAUCGGUGAAGCAUCAACGACAUCGUUGAUGAGUUGCAGAAGCUCUGAUUUGCGGUGGUCGUCGCCGGCGGCAACUCCGUCGAAGGCAUAUGGAAGAAGAGAGUGGAGAAGAGGCAAGCCAUUGAUUCUGAUUCCGAGUUUUCGAAUCAAAACCAUAGCUUAGAAUCAGAGAGAGAGAGAGAGAGAGAGAGAGAGAGAGAGAGAGAGAGAGAGAGAGAGAGAGAGAGAGAGAGAGAGAGAGAGAGAGAGAGAGAGAGAGAGAGAGAGAGAGAGNNNNNNNNNNNNNNNNNNNNGAGAGAGAGAGAGUGAAUCAUAUCGGGAGGAAGAGAGAAGGAAGGGUGUGGCAUAUCAUGUAAUUUUGUUGAAAAACUAAACAUUUUGGUAAUUUUCCACUUGAAAUCCAAGUCAUCUCUCUUCCUAUCUGUUAUUGGGCUUUGAGCUUAUGUCCUUAUUUGUUUAAAUCUUUUAAAAUGUGGGUUUUCUGUUUUUUGCAACUGUUUGGAGUAGUGAGAUGUCAUUUUCUAUUCUAUAAAUGAUAUAUUAAUAUUACUUUCUUUCAAAAAAAUAUAUAUAUAGAAAAGCAUUUAAUUUUGCAUAAUAGAAUAGAAGAGCCG